AUUUCCAAUCAUAACACACCCUACCCAAAGACUAAGAGUUAUGCCCUUCAAAUUUAAAGGAUUUGGCGGUAAUUUAGUCCAGUUAGAGGAACCUGUUCGAUAAACGAUAAACCUCGCAGAAUCUUUCCUCCCCCACAAAGUUUGUAUACCGUCAUUAUUAGAUAACUCCUAGAAGAAAAGUUAUUCCAAUAAAUAAUUCUUUACUUAGUAUAUUAGAUCAAGGUGCAGCCCAUGGGAAGGUCAGAAUGGGUUACAAUAAAACUUAUUUAAAACGGAGAAAGAAUUGAAAGCAUUCUUUUAAAGGAGGAUUUAAUUGUAAUGUUAGUUUAAUAAGCUAACCUGGUAAAGGAUCUAAAUUGAGUACAUAUCGCCCGUCGCUUUCGUCCACAAACGAAAUAAGUCGUAACAUAG
rnacentral:rRNA from 1 species